UUGAACGCUGGCGGCAGGCCUAACACAUGCAAGUCGAGCGGCAGCGCGGGGCAACCUGGCGGCGAGCGGCGGACGGGUGAGUAACGCGUAGGAAUCUACCCAGUAGCGGGGGAUAGCCCGGGGAAACUCGGAUUAAUACCGCAUACGCCCUAAGGGGGAAAGCAGGGGAUCGUAAGACCUUGCACUAUUGGAAGAGCCUGCGUUGGAUUAGCUAGUUGGUAGGGUAAAGGCCUACCAAGGCGACGAUCCAUAACUGGCCUGAGAGGAUGAUCAGUCACACCGGAACUGAGACACGGUCCGGACUCCUACGGGAGGCAGCAGUGGGGAAUAUUGGACAAGGGGGGCGACCCUGAUCCAGCCAUGCCGCGUGUGUGAAGAAGGCCUUCGGGUUGUAAAGCACUUUAAGUGGGGAGAAAGGUUCGGCAGCUAAUACCUGCCGGAAGUGAUGUUACCCACAGAAUAAGCACCGGCUAACUCUGUGCCAGCCGCCGCGGUAA
rnacentral:rRNA from 1 species